GAGGCAUUUCCUAGGGAGUGAGAGCUCAUCCUCAAAACCACCUUGAACAUAACAAUUCUUUAGUUUGCGCCACUUUAACUAACUUUUGCUCUAGUAUUGAAACUGGCAGCGAUUUCCAAUUUACCAUCAAGCAGAUGCUGUGGUUACUCAGAUACCAGUGCAUGAGCCUCUGGAGAUGGGCACGGCCAGCUGAUACAAGGGUUUGAGAACUAAUGAGACUACAGCUCCUUUGAGAUCUGCUGCACGUGAGAAAGUGUGCCUGGGAAUCUCAACAGCCCUGACCCUUCUCCAGUUUUCCCCUGGCAUAACUCCAUUUACUCCAGUGGAUUCAGUCCCGAUUCACACCAGCGUGAAUGAGAGGAGACUUGAUUCCAAGAGCCUGAACAAGCUAGAAAUAAAAAACAAUGGUAAUGACUAUUCUCCUGUGUCCAAACAGAUUAACCGGAACUAUAAACAAAAGCCAGAUCAGGUUUUUCAGACCAGAAGCUGAAAAGAGCAGUUCUAUUUUCUUUUAUGGACCACGGUAAAGUAGAUCUUAAUA